CGCGUGAUCGCCGGCGCAGCAGAGCCCUGCGCGCCUGUGCCUGCGCCGCCCGCCCCAGGCCCCGGCCUCGGCCGAGCGAUGUUGCUGCUGGCGGCCGCCUUCCUCGUGGCGUUCGUGCUGCUGCUCUACAUGGUGUCUCCGCUCAUCAGCCCCAAGCCCCUCGCCCUGCCCGGGGCGCAUGUGGUGGUUACAGGAGGCUCCAGUGGCAUCGGAAAGUGCAUUGCUAUCGAGUGCUAUAAACAAGGAGCUUUUAUAACUCUGGUUGCACGAAAUGAGGACAAACUGUUGCAGGCAAAGAAAGAAAUCGAAAAACACUCUAUUAAUGAUAAACAGGUGGUGCUUUGUAUAUCAGUUGAUGUGUCUCAAGACUAUAGCCAAGUAGAGAAUGUCAUAAAACAAGCACAGGAGAAACUGGGCCCAGUGGACAUGCUUGUAAACUGUGCAGGAAUGUCACUUGCAGGAAAAUUUGAAGAUCUUGAAGUUAGUACUUUUGAAAGAUUAAUGAGCGUCAACUACCUGGGCAGCGUGUACCCCAGCCGAGCUGUGAUCGCCACCAUGAAGGAGCGCCGCGUGGGCAGGAUUGUCUUUGUGUCCUCCCAGGCGGGGCAGUUGGGCUUAUUUGGUUUCACAGCCUACUGUCCGUCCAAGUUCGCCAUCAGGGGAUUGGCAGAAGCUCUGCAGAUGGAGGUGAAGCCCUAUAAUGUUUAUGUCACAGUUGCCUACCCACCGGACACAGACACCCCCGGGUUUGCGGAAGAAAACAAAACCAAGUGUUCAGCACCUCUGGACAUUAACAUUAAUACAGUGACUGUCAGUCAUCCUGAGCUGAAUGCCAGCUCUGCACUUUGUUCAGAUGAACCUGCCUUGACACGUGGUAGGCACUCUCUGAGCAAACAAAGUGGGGGAGAAAGGAAUCAAUCAGAACUUAUCCCCUUGAACUUGCCUCUGGAGACUCGGCUUAUUUCAGAGACCACAUCUGUUUGCAAACCAGAACAAGUGGCCAAACAAAUUGUUAAAGAUGCCAUACAAGGAAAUUUCAACAGUUCCAUUGGCUCAGAUGGGUACAUGCUCUCGUCCCUGACCUGUGGAAUGGCUCCGGUAACUUCCAUCACUGAAGGGCUCCAGCAGGUGGUCACCAUGGGCCUCUUCCGUACGAUUGCUUUGUUCUACCUUGGAAGCUUCGACAGUAUAGUUCGUCGUUGCAUGAUGCAGAGAGCGAAAUCUGAAAUUGCAGACAAAACUGCCUAAUUCUUAUCCCUUGGAAAAAGACUUUCUAAAUAAUUUGACCAGCUUGCUGCUAAACGGGACGCAGUUUUUGGCCUGCAGACAUUCGUGUCUUACUUUCGAAUCUGUGAGAUUGGACCAGUGCUCUUCAGAAACCUGGCUGCAAGCAGGGGGAUAGACGUUCAAACUCCAGAGAAUAUUAUUAAUACUAUGCAAAUUUGGAGCAGGAGACCACUUGAUUCUCCGAGGCAGAGAAGUGAUGACUCAGACGCUUAGGGCACUGUUCAUUUUUCGUUCACCGGGAAAGGCAGGCUCCUAAAAUGUUUUCUGAAGAGAAGUCAAAUCUUAGAAGCUUAAAAGUUUACAAUUUCUUCAAUAGCCAUGAUGACCUGAAGCUCACCCAUUCCAUUGUAGUGUCUUACUCUUCCCAUGUCUUCCUUUCCAAUUUUGCUUAUACUGCUAUAAUAUUUUUGUAAAAAAAAAAAAAAGAGAAGACCAGUUUUUUUUGACUUGACUUUUUAAAUUAAUGAAUGAAUUUAUUAAAGCAAAUGAAAAAAUUAGAAAGCGUGACCUUUGUCUCCUCGUAGCAUAUAUGUAGCUUUUAAGAGAGGCAGAUGAUAGCGUGUUUCAGUUUUAUUUAUUAAGAAAAAAAAAUGUAGGAUGACAAGGCUGAUGUUGAAGAUACUCGUUUUGGAAAUAAAAUGAUCACCCUGUUCUUUCUAUGACUCUCCCACUGACCCUGAGAACAUCCUCUUUGUACCACAUGUUAAGAAAGCCCAGCCAUCUCUCUCACCGUAGAGACCUGGAAAUCUUGUUGGUCCCCUGAGUGUUGUUUCAAGAUGCCAGGCUCCGUUGCCCGUUGGUUGGAUUUCCACAGCAAGUGCCUCUGAUGAGUUUUAGCCACCGCUACCUGCUUUGCUCUGUCAUUGUAUGUGUUUCCUCCGACUUGAGGGCCGUCUCCUCCAUUGUAACGCUGUUUCCCCUCCCCUUUGCAUACACAGUAAGUUUAUACGUUACCACCUUCCAGUUCCUUGUGGUGAGAAAAGACCACUGCAUUUGAAGAAGAAACUUUUUUUUUAUUGUUUUAAAAAAAAACAACACAAAAGAUCGUUUUGGUAACAGUACAAAACAAUACAAUUCCACAAAAGAUUAAAGACCUAAAAAUUAUUGCAAAUCUUUUUUGCCUUUGAGUUUUUGAACUCUUGACUUUAAAAUGACUUGAUUUUUACAAAGUAAGAUGUCUAAUGGCUUUAAUCCAUGGUGUCUUUUUAAAAGACAUGAGAAUGGCACAUUUUCAAACACUGACAAUGACAGAAGAAAUUAUUGUUUAAUAUAUAAGUUGCUUGGGAUGACUUCAUUGCAGUUUAUGGGGGUGGUUUGAACCCAUAAUGGUUUCAUGAAUCUUUCCGCCUUAGAGAGCCAUCGUCUGCAAAGUUGAGUCAUAUCAGGCAGCCUCUAAAAGGGAGUAAAGGCUGUGCUUUCCUAAUUCAUGGAUACAGAUAAAUAGCUGGGUGCUUCUCAAUUUGAUUCUUUUCUCAUAAAUGCUUCUUGAAUGUUGGUACCUUCUACUGAAGGUCUAUAUUAAAAUCUAGUCCCAGGUGAUGCCUCAUUUAAUAAAAUUAACUAUUUUGCAAUAGUUAUUUCAAUAUACAUUUCUCAAGGUAUCCUCAGAGAGAGCACUGUGACUCCAGGUCAUCUCCUGCCUGAACAAAUUGACACCCCCCUCCUGUUCCACGGCGGGGAGAUAUCCCCAACCCAAAUGAAGCUCAGGCAUGAGAGCAGAUCUGUGGAGGUUAUAGGAUCAGGGAAUGGGCUCCUUUGUCAGAGAUGGCAAAGGUCUACAUUCUCGUAACCAAAAAGCUUUGAAAACUGAGGUGUUCCUUUUAUUCUUCCUAAAUUUGGUGCCAUAAUUCAUUUGAUAGCAAAACCUGACUUGAACUGACUUGAGAUUAUUAUAGUUUUUAUUUAUGCCACUCCAUGGGCUGUUCAUUAAUUUUGUCUGAAGAAAUACCAAUGGGUUUGACUUACAGGGAUUGCCCCAGACUCUGCGGAGAUGUUUUGUAAUAUCCAGUAUAUGCCCCAUGUUACCUUUU